rnacentral:tRNA from 1 species
GGUGUAGCGCAGUUGGUAGCGCGCUUGCUUUGGAAGCAAGAUACCGUAGGUUCAAAUUCUGUCAC